GCAGUCAAGCUCUUCUUAUGUUCCGUUGGUAGAGCACGAGAUUCUUAAUCUCAAGGUUGUGGGUUCGAAAGAUUCCUGCAUUGCA